AUACGUAGGGGGCGAGCGUUGUCCGGAAUGAUUGGGCGUAAAGGGCGCGUAGGCGGCCCGGUAAGUCUGGAGUGAAAGUCCUGUUUUUAAGAUGGGAAUUGCUUUGGAUACUGUCGGGCUUGAGUGCAGGAGAGGUAAGUGGAAUUCCCAGUGUAGCGGUGAAAUGCGUAGAUAUUAGGAGGAACACCAGUGGCGAAGGCGGCCUGCUGGACGACAACUGACGCUGAGGCGCGAAAGCGUGGGGAGCAAACAGGAUUAGAUACCCUGGUAGUCCACGCUGUAAACGAUGAAUACUAGGUGUGGGGGGACUGACCCCCUCCGUGCCGCAGUUAACACAAUAAGUAUUCCACCUGGGGAGUACGAUCGCAAGAUUGAAACUCAAAUGAAUUGACGGGG
rnacentral:rRNA from 1 species